GAUGAACGCUGGCGGCGUGCCUAAUACAUGCAAGUCGAGCGAACAGACGAGGAGCUUGCUCCUCUGACGUUAGCGGCGGACGGGUGAGUAACACGUGGCUAACCUACCUAUAAGACUUGGAUAACUUCGGGAAACCGGAGCUAAUACCGGAUAAUAUAUUUAACCGCAUGGUUCAAUAGUGAAAGACGGUUUUGCUGUCACUUAUAGAUGGAUCCGCGCCGCAUUAGCUAGUUGGUAAGGUAACGGCUUACCAAGGCAACGAUGCGUAGCCGACCUGAGAGGGUGAUCGGCCACACUGGAACUGAGACACGGUCCAGACUCCUACGGGAGGCAGCAGUAGGGAAUCUUCCGCAAUGGGCGAAAGCCUGACGGAGCAACGCCGCGUGAGUGAUGAAGGUCUUCGGAUCGUAAAACUCUGUUAUUAGGGAAGAACAAAUGUGUAAGUAACUAUGCACGUCUUGACGGUACCUAAUCAGAAAGCCACGGCUAACUACGUG
rnacentral:rRNA from 1 species